GGGGACUUCCUGAAGACGGGUGUGAUUCGUUGCUGGAUACCUUGGACCUCCGUCGUCUUUUUGACGGACAUUAAUUACCUACUCUGGAUUGACGCUGGACUGACUGACUUCGACCCCGGAUUAUCCCUUCUGUGGCUAUCGGUGGGACUUGUGGAAUUCUAGACGUCUGCACUUGGCUUUCGACCUUGGACCGGAUUGAGACCCUGCUGACUGCCGUUACCCUGAUUGAUGUGCCUGGACCCGGAUUUCGCUCGUUGCACGGAGGAGUAAACAGCCUGAUUUACUCAUCUGUAGCUUUUGAGUAGCAGAGAGGAAUUUGCUGCCAAUUUAUUGUGUUCAUUCUGACUUUCUGUUAAUCCUCUUUUGUUUGCUAAAUUUGCAGGCUGAAGUAAGCACUUUUGAUUUAAUCCGGAUUAAACUCCUGUUUAAUCCGGUUUAUCCUUUUUGAACCAUUUUAGUUCAAACAGAGCUGUUUUUGUUACUUUUCACACUGAAGUCAAGUGUUUGCCUAAUCCUUUGUUUCCUACGGGCAUUUUCAGUUUUGUAACCUCAAUAAACUGAGUUUUACUCUA